GGGGAAUAGCUCAAAUUUUAAAUCCGUUAGGUCUUACCUAACCGAGUUGUAAUUUGAAGAAACGCUUUUCGCGAUUUCGUAUUAGCCCAAAUCCUUUGGGAUAAGGUAUCAUGGAGGGUUAGAAUCCCGUCCGGCUAAGUCGAGGUUGCACUACGAUGCGCUUUCUAA
rnacentral:rRNA from 1 species